GUUAUAAAUUAGACCUGCAUUCUAGGAAAUUGGGUAUAGCAUAAAUAUUAAAUAAUAUGGCAAAUCCUGUUUGGGGUUUCCUCUGGUUUAUUGUGCUGAUUUUCUUUUCGUUUUUUGUGGCUUGGAUUGGUUGCAUUUUCUACGUUUGGACCUAUUUGUUUUCUCAGUGCUCAGACUGUUGUACUGGGUUAGCAGAUUUCUUCUUAAAGUGUGUCCAAUUCCCUGGCUACUGUGCAAAGAGUAUGAUAAGCUGCAAGAAAAUGUGUUAAAUUAGCAAAAAAAAAAA